AAGGCCAUUGCGUCCAAUCACAUAAAGCGCCAAUCACUCGACGGCCAAUUAGACGUAGUCUCCGAGGGGCGUUGCGGCCAAUCAUCGACCAGCUAACCUUCCUGAAGCAGAAGAUGGCUGCAGAAGCCUAGAGAAAGAUCAACUGGCAAGAAAGAAGCACAGGGCAGCCAUGUUGAGCAAGUUUAUUCAUGUCAUAGGUUUAUCAAUCACUUUUUUUCUGUGCUGUUUGCACACAGUGUUAGGAAAAGAAACAUAUCAGGGUCAUUCUGUUCUGAUUGCAGUAAAGAAUGAGCAGCGUGAGGGCUCUUUAUCAAUCCAUCAAUGGACCAGACGACAAAGCCUAGGGUUUCCUCCAAUACCCAUCAUUGGAAGCCACAGCCUAGGGUCGCGGAUGUGGAUCUGAAGGAGUCUCGAAACGCCGCCUGUCAAUGUUCUCCAGCGAUGCUGCCUGACGCGCUGAAUUAUUCCAGCACAUUGUGUCUUUGAUUUUCCCUCAGGAAUGCGGGCUGUGGACAAGAGGCAAGUCAACGAAUCAGAGAUUCCCGACUGUGUGUUCACCAGGGUUCAGCUUGGAACUCGCUAUGUAAAAUAAAACACAUCCAGU